UUCAUGCUUGUAAUUUUACAAAAUCAAAUGUAGUAUCAGGAAUUACAAAAAUCGUAAUUGUCCAAAGUCUUCAUCGUUAAAUUCCAAUAGAUCAAAGUCUUUUGGCACCAUUUUUAAUUGUCCACCAGAACUUUCCUACAAAAUAAAAUUAUUAAUUAGAUAGAAAUUCAUAGUAUGCAAGUGCAAACUCAGAGCAAUGUGGUAGAGUUGGCCCCUUGGGGACUCAGGACAAUACUAUCACAUAUAAGUAAGAGAUAUACAUAUACACGACUUAAACAAAUGACAGAGUAGAGGAAAAUCUAUAUAUGUUGUAGUGCUAAGAUGAAAAUGUAAUCGAAUGAUUCGAGUAACAGAGCCUAUGGACAAAAAUCAUGCUCAAUUGGCCUUCCUCAUUUGUUUUCUUAACAUCCAGGCAUCUAGUUAUAUUCUCUCAAUAGUAUGAUUAUGUUGCUUCCUUUUGUUUAAUUCCUGUAUACUGAUGGAAAAACUAGAUUAGUGGAUUUCUUUUCCAAAAUGAACAUUAACUUAACAUAUAGCAUAUACUCAAUCAGCUCACUUUCAAUUAAGCUAAAAAUAACUAGAUACAAACACCUUACCCAAAUCAAGGAUGUUGUUAGCUAGAAUUUGGUAUGUCCAGUCUGCUAUCUGAUUAAUAGUUUUUGAGAUAGAAAUGUAAUCUACCAGUGAGUACCUCUUACAGGUGACUAUAAUCACUUAGCUAUCAUUGUAUCUUAGAAUCUUGCAAGAAAUUAAAAGUGUAGGUACAACUUCUAUUCCAUUAACCCUCCAAUCUGUAUAGAGAGAUACUAAAAAACUUUCAUCAGACAAUUUGCUAACUCAAUUUUACCCUCAAGCAAUAUUGGUCUCAAUAUUUUAAAUACCUAUUAUAAUAAAGAUAAUCAUGUAGAUCUUUAUUCACUUAAAAGCUGAGCUAAACAAAGGGAAGGGGGGGGGGGACAUUUAAAAUGUUUUGUGUGAUUGAAAGUGAGUGAAAAAGAUAUACCUGUUGGGAAGUGGAUACCUUCAUUCACUUGGCAUCCUCUUUAAAUUCAUAAUUGUUGGAGUUACCAGAAAAAAAUUCAUUUCAAGAUAUCUGAAAUUAAUUCUCAAACAACAAGAUUUGUAUUUGUGUACUUCCCAUUCUAGCAAACAAAAAAUAAGAUAGUAAGCCAAAGAAGACAAAUCCAAAUUUACCUCUUCAGUUGACUCAAAGGAAGAUCUUAAGCUGAGAUAAUACACAAUAGAGACUAAAUCAACAAUAGAAAUAUGCAAGUUUCAUAUAUCAAGAGAUAAAGAAUGAAGGAGAAAGACGAUAAAUUGUGUAUUAUGCUCAACUAAUCGAUAUACUGCAGAACAUUUUCUUUCCAAAGAUGGCACAUCCAAAGUUUGAUUACCUGGUCGAUGUAUAUUUUCUAUCAAUUAAUCCUCCUACAACAAUUUUAAGGAGAGCAGGAAGUUAAUAGCUAAAAAGUUAGUUUACCCAGUUUACUUACCAACUAUGCCAAUGAAUAAUGCCUUAACAUACCUCUGAAGUACCCCUAUCCUUUUUCUUUGCCUUCCUCACUUUUGCUCUACGUUGAUCUUAUUUGAGAACAUGAAGAAUCCUUUGUUCACUCCAAUGUCCACAUGUAUAACCUAUACUAAAGCAAGCAAGAACUGAAUUGAUGCAAAAUACAAUACUGUCACAAGUAGGACAAUAUCUUUAAAAUUUGAGAUUUCAACCACAAAGUUAAAAUCUUAAUAACAUUAGAACUAAAUAUUGUGCUAGCAUAAAAAAAUAAAUAGUAUGCGUCAAUUGAUAUGCCAAAUUGAUCUACCUAACUAACAUAUUGCCAUGUUUAUUCAAUAUCAAACUAGAGCCUUAGUCUUAGCUUCAGAAGCUAUACAAUUAAUAAUGAGAGAGAACAAGAAUUAGCUACUAGACAAUAGAAUGUCAGAAUAAGAAUUUGUGCCCAGAUUAUAUAAUUGUAAAAAGUUAUUCUCCUCCAAAAUACAAGUAAAGGUCAUCUCUCCCCCUUAUGGGCUAGAGAACGUCAUAUAACUAAAUCUCAUUUACAAUAGAGAAAACUAAAUCCCAUUGUAAUUGAAGUAUAUCUUCAUCACUAUCUCAUAUUUUUAUCAUUAAUUCAUAAAGCUUCAUGAAAAAAAGUACCAUAUCUUCUUGCACAUCUUUUAAUUAUCAAACCAUAUAAAUAACAAAAUAUUUUAGUUUCAACUACCAAGCCUCAAUAUAUGCCAUUAAGUCAUAAGCAUUUAUACGUUUAUGCUACAAAAACUUUAUGUCAAACUUAAGUAGAAAACUUAGACUAACAUUUUGAACUCCACAAUUGGGAAGUAACACUAUAAUGCUUCAAAUGCAAAACAAAAACAUACAAAGCACUGAAGAAAGUAAUUCGACAACAAAAGGACAUAAUAAUAGUUGUACUAUGAAAAGAAAUACAGCUGCUGCAGAGUUGUAUAAAAUGACAGUAGCAGCAACAGUAUACCAUGUAUGGAAAGAAAGGAAUACUAGAAUUUUUCAAGCAAAGGUGACAGGUUGGGAAGCAAUGAGUAAGAAGAUCAUUCAAGAGAUACAUUACCGAAGUACCAAACAUACAGCGGGGAUACUACAUAGACUAGAUUGGUACCCAGUGUAAUAGUUAGAUAUAAGUGUAUAUAACAGCAUAUGGGGAGGGGGUGAAGUAUAGGAAAGAAGGUUAUCUUGUAAGGUUUUUUUUUUUGACUUACUUGUAAAUAUUUUUCCCUGGUAAUACAAAGUUUAAUUACCAAAAAAAAAUAGAAAAUAGUUGUACUAUGAAAUGAAGCAAGAUGUGGCAGACAUGAAAAUUGUGUCGCACAUACAAACUAACAAGUUAUUAAAAUAUAUAAGCAUAUAAGAAAAGGCAAACCAAAUAGGUCCAGAAAUUUUCAUCUCAUAAAAAUACCUUCUUAAUGCUUCAGUUCCUUUUCAAACACUCAUUAUUGCUUUUUGUCAAUCCAUAUUUGAUACUAAAUUUAUGCUUCCUACUAAUUCUUUCAAAUUCUUACUAUUUAUCCAACAAAUUUCACUUCAUUAAUUGACUUCAAAACCAAAAUGAUUUCAACGGUAAGGAUAGGUCAGACAAACAUUCCAUCAAACAGGUAAUAUGCAAUGGUCAAUCCCAAAAGAAAUUCUGCAAAUAGGCAAAGCUAGUAUAGAAAUGUUUAAGAUCUAAACACAUGUACGUUUAAACUUAAGACUAGUACUAUGAAACAAACACAAAUGAAAUCUGUAUUUGAACUCUGUUGAAAUUUUCUUUUUCCUGAUUGAAUUUCACUUAAGCAAAUAUUGGCAUAUAUAAGAGUACAUUUCAGAAAGAAAAUGAGACAUCGCUACAAAUUUUAGGGUGGAGGCAAAUUCGGCACAAGAGGUGAUAGUGUCUAUGCAGAUUAUGGCGGAGGUUGGCAAAACAGAAAACCUAAUGAACUGAUGUCAUUAGGAGGGAAACUAUUUGCACUUUCAAAAUGGGGGGAAAUGUUUCACGGGAAAUUUUAAUGGUAGGAGGAAUUUUAUUGAAUUUCUUUAGCGCACACUAGUGAAGUGUUGCUUUUAGAAUUAUGAAUACAACUCACUCUAAAAGCAUCGCAAUAUAAAUGAAUAAGUGUUGCCAAUUAAUUUAUGUUUGGCAGCACUUAAGUUGCGUUGUCUCAGUCUAAAAGAUAUGUUUCGCAAGCGUGGCCAUAAAAU
rnacentral:lncRNA from 1 species